rnacentral:rRNA from 1 species
UGGAUCCAGACUUUGAUUCUGGCUCAGGACGAACGCUGGCGGCACGCUUAACACAUGCAAGUCGAACAGAGAUAUUUGAGUUUACUUAGAUAUCUUAGUGGCGGACGGGUGAGUAACACGUGAGCAACCUGCCUUUGAGAGAGGGAUAGCUUCUGGAAACGGAUGGUAAUACCUCAUGACAUACGGUUAUCGCAUGGUGACUGUAUCAAAGAUUUAUCACUCAGAGAUGGGCUCGCGUCUGAUUAGAUAGUUGGUGAGGUAACGGCUCACCAAGUCGACGAUCAGUAGCCGGACUGAGAGGUUGAACGGCCACAUUGGGACUGAGACACGGCCCAGACUCCUACGGGAGGCAGCAGUGGGGAAUAUUGCACAAUGGGGGGAACCCUGAUGCAGUGAUGCCGCGUGGAGGAAGAAGGUUUUCGGAUUGUAAACUCCUGUCUUAAAGGACGAUAAUGACGGUACUUUAGGAGGAAGCUCCGGCUAACUACGUGCCAGCAGCCGCGGUAAUACGUAGGGAGCGAGCGUUGUCCGGAAUUACUGGGUGUAAAGGGAGCGUAGGCGGGACGGUAAGUCAGAUGUGAAAGGUGGAAGCUUAACUUCCAAGCUGCAUUUGAAACUGCUGUUCUUGAGUGAAGUAGAGGUAAGCGGAAUUCCUGGUGUAGCGGUGAAAUGCGUAGAUAUCAGGAGGAACACCGGUGGCGAAGGCGGCUUACUGGGCUUUUACUGACGCUGAGGCUCGAAAGCGUGGGUAGCAAACAGGAUUAGAUACCCUGGUAGUCCACGCUGUAAACGAUGAUUACUAGGUGUGGGGGGACUGACCCCUUCCGUGCCGCAGUUAACACAAUAAGUAAUCCACCUGGGGAGUACGGCCGCAAGGUUGCAACUCAAAUGAAUUGACGGA